GACGAACGCUGGCGGCGUGCUUAACACAUGCAAGUCGAACGGAAAGGCCCUGCUUUUGUUGGGUGCUCGAGUGGCGAGCGGGUGAGUAACACGUGAGUAAACUGCCCUUGACUGUGUGAUAACUUCAGGAAACUGGGGCUCAUACCGGAUAGGAGCUCCUGCUGCAUGGUGUGGGUUGGUAAGAUUCGGCGGUUGUGGCUGUACUCGCGGCUUAUCAGCUUGUUGGUGGGGUAGGGGCUGACCAAGGCUUUGAAGGGUAGCCGGCCUGGGAGGGUGACCGGCCACAUGGGGACUGAGAGACGGACCAGACUCGUACGGGAGGCAGUAGUGGAGAAUAUGGCAGAACGGGCGGAAGCCAGAGGCAGCAGCGCUGCGUGCGGGAUGAUGGGUUACGGGUUGUAAACCGCUUUGGCAGGUGAUGAAGCGGGAUUGACGGUAACGGGUAAGGAAGCAACGGCUAACUACGUG
rnacentral:rRNA from 1 species